UACGUAGGGUGCAAGCGUUGUCCGGAAUUAUUGGGCGUAAAGAGCUCGUAGGCGGUUUGUCGCGUCGAAUGUGAAAACCCGGGGCUCAACUCCGGGCCUGCAUUCGAUACGGGCAGACUAGAGUUCGGUAGGGGAGUCUGGAAUUCCUGGUGUAGCGGUGAAAUGCGCAGAUAUCAGGAGGAACACCGGUGGCGAAGGCGGGACUCUGGGCCGAUACUGACGCUGAGGAGCGAAAGCGUGGGUAGCGAACAGG
rnacentral:rRNA from 1 species